UGGGGAAUAUUGGGCAAUGGGGGCAACCCUGACCCAGCGACGCCGCGUGAGGGAAGACGGCCUUCGGGUUGUAAACCUCUUUUGUACGGGAAGAAGGAUGUGACGGUACCGUGCGAAUAAGUCCCGGCUAACUACGUGCCAGCAGCCGCGGUAAUACGUAGGGGACGAGCGUCGUCCGGAAUUACAGGGCGUAAAGGGCGCGCAGGCUGUAGAUCAAGUCAGCUGUGAAAUGUCUGGGCUUAACCCGGGCAUGCGGUUGAAACUGAUGUACUGGAGUGCUGUAGAGGCAGGUGGAAUUCCCAGUGUAGCGGUGAAAUGCGUAGAUAUUGGGAAGAACACCGGUGGCGAAGGCGGCUUGCUGGGCAGCAACUGGCGCUGAGGCGCGAAAGCCAGGGGAGCAAACGG
rnacentral:rRNA from 1 species